GACGAACGCUGGCGGCGUGCUUAACACAUGCAGGUCGAGCGAUGAAAGCCUUAUGAACUAUUCGUAGUGAUUGAGGCCGGAUUAGCGGCGGACGGGUGAGUAACGCGUGAGCAACCUGCCUUAAACAACGGGAUAGCCUCGGGAAACCGGGAUUAAUACCGUAUGAGACCACGCCUUCCCAUGAAGAAGAGGUUAAAGAUUUAUCGGUUUAAGAUGGGCUCGCGUCUGAUUAGCUAGUUGGUGAUGUAAAAGCCCACCAAGGCAACGAUCAGUAACCGGCUUGAGAGAGUGAACGGUCACAUUGGAACUGAGACACGGUCCAAACUCCUACGGGAGGCAGCAGUGGGGAAUAUUGCACAAUGGGGGAAACCCUGAUGCAGCGACGCCGCGUGAGCGAUGAAGGAAUUCGUUUCGUAAAGCUCUGUCCAAGGGGAAGAUAAUGACAGUACCCUUGGAGGAAGCCCCGGCUAAAUACGUGCCAGCCGCCGCAGUAA
rnacentral:rRNA from 1 species